GUCAAACGAACUAAGCGCAGGCGACUCGUGGACUGUACAGUUCUAGGAAACAUUUCAGUUGAAUGUUUUCACUGGGGAGGGUGAAAGAAGCGAUUAUACGAAGGCGAAUUGUGAAGAGAUGUCAAAAUCUGCAAUUUUUCUAGCUAUUGUCGAUUCGUCUAAGAAUAAUUAAGGCUGCAUGCCAAUCAAUGUAAAUCAUAAAAUAGAGCAUUUCUGCUGUCGACGUGGAUUUGAUUGGGAAGAACUAGAGUUAGAUCAAAUUCUUCCAAUUUUCGCUCAAUUAACUAAUGACGUUCAACAAUCAAGCAGUUAAGAAUUAAUAAAUUCAUGGUAUAUCAUGAGUGUUUUUUCAAGCGCCGUCUCCUGUGAAGCAUAUCUACCAUUUUCGUGCAAAGCUCUCUGGAAAGCGUAUUGACUGUGUAUGCAUGCAUGCACCUAUCGAACUUCGUGCACAUAUAGACGUGAUGCUUUGACGAUAAAUACUUAUUAAAAUUCAAAUUAUUUAUUUCUGCCUUGUAAAGGUACAGACAGCAGAGGCGCAGAAAAAGCUGUCAGAUACAGAUUGACAAAGCCGCAGCCCCCUUUCGCUUGGCAGAGCCUUUACAGCGACACUUUUAAAACAAAGACAAUUGCACCCGGUAAUAACAGGUAUACAAUACUGAGCAAGUACAAAAGGAAACCAAUCAAGAUUAUACGAUAUUUGUACAAUACUCCCAAACAAGAAAACAGAACCUACAUGCUAACGUACAUAGCACCCAAAGUACUGUUCGACGCGUUGAAGAGGUCAAAAUUAUUGUUCACAUAAGGUAUAUACAUAUUCGUAUAGCGCUACCAAUCCCUGCAAAAUAUAGAACGCAGAUUUUCAUUACACACACGCACGCACGCACGUGCACAGCACACACACCAAAAGGAAACGGUAACGCGCUCACAGGAAGCGCCUGAAAAACGAAAAAAAAGGAAAAGUGUGGGGAACCGAGGUCGUCUUGGGCUGUCGCCUCUCCCUCUCCCAGAAGGAAUGAAGAGGUUCUUGGAAAGCAGGGACGGGCGAUUCUCUCUGUCAGCAUCAGCUCCCACCAGCGAGGACGGGGCGAGAAAGCGAAACGGGACUUUCCUUGCUGUCUAUUUUUUCUUCGUCAGGCCAACGCCGCUUGCUUGCAGGGGCGCAGGCGAGUUCCCGCCAAAUGGCGCGGGUGCGUGAGUUGCCGCCAAAUGCUAGCUCUGGAUGCCAGCUCGUUCCGCGUCUCAUGGUAGACUAGUUGGUGCAUUUCUGUUAUCAUGGACUGCGCAUAUAAACGCAAGCUACACAAAAGUGACAUGGACAAGAGCAGCGCAAGCCCUUUACAUGCAGUGGAGCCGCCGUAUCUCGCCGUUCAAGAUAUGCGUACUCGUAAGUGGCAUUUUAAUUUCACGUUGUGUAAUGCAUGACUGUCUUUUUCAAGUGAACAAAGGUCGCUUUGUAUUGUGUAAAUGGUUUUGCAACGUAUGAUAAACUCCUUGUCUUUCGGGCUUAUUUUUUCUGACAGGAAGAAAAAAAAAAGAGGCUUUACAUGAGAACGGAUCAAGCGUUCGAGAGUUGGGACAGGGAAAUGUGAGACGUACUUUCAUGUAUAUAUUUCUAAUAUUAUUUUUUCGUCUUGUAUUCUCGUUAAUUUUUCUCUAGGAAACACUGCAACGACACUGCUUAAAUUGAAGCACAGUGUGCGAAUGACCUGCUACGCUCGGAACUGUUAUCACCAUUCGGGAAGAAAUUGGAUGAAAAAACAUAACUGUAAAUACCUGUAUGAUAUACGUCUGGUGCAUUGCAGGUAAGAAUGGAUUGUGUGUGGCGCGCUUCACCGCAUGUGGACUAUAGUAGAUCUAAGAACAUCAGACAAGAAGACACGUAUGUGAAACCCUGCGGAUAGCCCAUAUGUGAACUUUUUUUCCAGAUACGGAGGAACGGACACCGGUCGUGCCGUGAGCACUAUUCUGCAGGGCAUACUUACAAAUGAAGCUGCACUGCAGUUCAGCUGGAAAGGGUCGCAGGGGAGGAAGCACGCCUUCGUGAAGCUCAUGGCCAUCACGAAUAUAACAUCUGUGAGGAGCACGUUCCCUGACGCUUCACUAGCAUCAGUGGCUGGAGUCGCAAAACGCUGGUUGGUUGGAGCAGCUGACAGGGAUGGAGGCCGGAAUGAAAGGCGCCGUGACCCUGCUUCAAGCCCACCAAAUAUGAACUAGUGUUUGAAACUUGUGAACGUGUCGGUGUACAUAUACAAUUACAAGAAAUAAAGACCUGUAUCAGAA